rnacentral:rRNA from 1 species
CAGCCGCGCGGGAAUACAGAGGGUGCAAGCGUUAAUCGGAAUUACUGGGCGUAAAGCGCGCGUAGGUGGUUUGUUAAGUUGGAUGUGAAAUCCCCGGGCUCAACCUGGGAACUGCAUCCAAAACUGGCAAGCUAGAGUAUGGUAGAGGGUGGUGGAAUUUCCUGUGUAGCGGUGAAAUGCGUAGAUAUAGGAAGGAACACCAGUGGCGAAGGCGACCACCUGGACUGAUACUGACACUGAGGUGCGAAAGCGUGGGGAGCAAACAGGAUUAGAUACCCCCGUAGUCCCUGUCUCUUAUCCA